UCUGUGGUGCAGUGGUAGCACCUUGACAUAAUAAUCAUAAGUCCUAGGUUCGAGUCCUGGUCUGGGUGAAAAA